rnacentral:rRNA from 1 species
CGCGUGAGGAACCUGCCUCAAAGAGGGGGACAACAGUUGGAAACGACUGCUAAUACCGCAUAAGCCCACGGGUCGGCAUCGACCUGAGGGAAAAGGAGCAAUCCGCUUUGAGAUGGCCUCGCGUCCGAUUAGCUAGUUGGUGAGGUAACGGCCCACCAAGGCGACGAUCGGUAGCCGGACUGAGAGGUUGAACGGCCACAUUGGGACUGAGACACGGCCCAGACUCCUACGGGAGGCAGCAGUGGGGAAUAUUGCACAAUGGGGGAAACCCUGAUGCAGCGACGCCGCGUGGAGGAAGAAGGUCUUCGGAUUGUAAACUCCUGUUGUUGAGGAAGAUAAUGACGGUACUCAACAAGGAAGUGACGGCUAACUACGUGCCAGCAGCCGCGGUAAAACGUAGGUCACAAGCGUUGUCCGGAAUUACUGGGUGUAAAGGGAGCGCAGGCGGGAAGACAAGUUGGAAGUGAAAUCUAUGGGCUUAACCCAUAAACUGCUUUCAAAACUGUUUUUCUUGAGUAGUGCAGAGGUAGGCGGAAUUCCCGGUGUAGCGGUGGAAUGCGUAGAUAUCGGGAGGAACACCAGUGGCGAAGGCGGCCUACUGGGCACCAACUGACGCUGAGGCUCGAAAGUGUGGGUAGCAAACAGGAUUAGAUACCCUGGUAGUCCACGCAGUAAACGAUGAUAACUCGUUGUCGGCGAUACACAGUCGGUGACUAAG